CUCAAGUGGAAUAUCAGGAUGAGGAUGGUGUUUUAUUUCACUCUGAUGCUCAGCGCAGGGCGAUGCUCGGAUCAGAUGAUAGAGACGAGGACUGUUGCUGUUGGAAGUGAUGUGAAACUGAGUUGUGCCCGAGAGUCCUCAGGGAGCGUGUUUUGGAUCAGACUUGUUCCUGGAAACAUUCCUGAAUACUUAAUGAAAUCAAAUAGCUUCAAGAAUAAUGGUCACAUUACAGCCACUCAACAGCCUGGAACAUUGGAUCUGCAUAUUGACAAAGCAAGUCUGAGUGAUGCUGCAGUUUACUACUGUUUUAAAACCUUCCAAAAAGGCUUAACUUUUUUGAAAGCAACAGACCUGAGGGUUGGAGUAGAACCUGAUUCCAGUGCAGUCACUCCAUCUGAUCCGGUCCGUCCAGGAGACGCAGUGACGGAGGAGAAGUGUCCGGUCCCCCGGGACUCUGAGGUGAAGACAUGUCCAGGAGAACACAGGGUGUGCUGUGCGAGAGCGACGCCACAUCGAUAUGAGCCACCGUUUAAUGGAAACAGUGUUGAAGAACACGAGGGGAACGCAGAGGAACCGCCAACAGAGGAACGUGUCUACAGCUUCUUCAUUAAGGUCGGCUCCUCGGAUGAUGGAUACCAGUACUGUGCUGUAAAAGCAUGUGAGGAGAGAUUUACUGGAAAUGAA